UACGAAGGGAGCUAGCGUUGUUCGGAAUCACUGGGCGUAAAGCGCACGUAGGCGGCUUUUUAAGUCAGGGGUGAAAUCCUGGAGCUCAACUCCAGAACUGCCUUUGAUACUGAGAAGCUCGAGUCCGGGAGAGGUGAGUGGAACUGCGAGUGUAGAGGUGAAAUUCGUAGAUAUUCGCAAGAACACCAGUGGCGAAGGCGGCUCACUGGCCCGGUACUGACGCUGAGGUGCGAAAGCGUGGGGAGCAAACAGG
rnacentral:rRNA from 1 species